rnacentral:rRNA from 1 species
GUGGCGAAAGGGUGAGUAACACGUCGAGGAACCUGCCCCCGUGGACCCGGAACAAGGACCUGUGAAAACGGGUCUGAAACCGGAUGAGGCCCCUUCCCGCAUGGGAGGUCGGCCAAAUAAUUCAUAGCCAGGGGAUGGCCUCGCGCCCAUUAGCUUGUUGGCGGGGUAGCGGCCACCAAGGCGACGACGGGUAGGUGGUCUGAGAGGAUGGUCACCCACACUGGGACUGAGACACUGCCCAGACUCCGUACGGGAGGCUGCAGGUCGAGAAUCUUCCGCAAGUGGGCGCAAGCCUGACGGAGCGAUGCCGCGUGAGGGAGGAAGGCCUUCGGGUCGUAAACCUCUGUCGAGGGGAACGAACGCAAUGACGGUACCCCUCAAGAAAGCCACGGCUAACCACGUGCCAGCAGCCGC